rnacentral:piRNA from 1 species
UAAUGAAAAGGAUUCUUUAUU